UGAUUCCGGUCUCCCUGUCCAGCGCGUGCCGGGGCCAGACGAAGCUGAUGUCCAGCGAUGGCGUCCUGGAUGCAAGAUGGCGACGAGCGCCACCACCAGUCCAGUGACGAUGGUAAUGAAGUAAGGCAUCUUACCUCUUCUUGAUUCACGUUCUGUAAAAAGAAAUGAGGAUCGAUGGAUGCCAUUGCCCUUGAUCUUCAUUCUCCGGUUAAUUUCCUGCAAGGAAUCGCUCUUGAAGAGUCAAUUAAAGAUCGAGAGAUUCAUGUCGUUGCAGUGCACGGUGCGAGGCUGCCGCUUGGAAGCACUUCCGCCGGGCUGAGGGCCGCCGAGGUAGCGGGCGCCACCACGCCUAGCCGAGGGCUGAGGCCGUCCAACUAGCGAGCGAUGCCGUAGCCGGGGAACGCCGCACCGAUGGAGUCGCUCUGCCGGGAGCGUGCUGAUAACGUGUUAGAAAGGGAAACGAGAGACAAUCGAGAGAGCCUUGUAACAGAUGUAAAA
rnacentral:lncRNA from 1 species